UUUUGAAUUACUAUCAGACCUUUUAAUUUAUUUAAUUUGAGUUACUUCAAAGUUUAAAUUUGUUGUUUAUUUUUACGAAUUUAAUUAGCAUAUUUUAUGUAAUUUAUAUAACUAUAAAUUUAAAUAUUUCAAAAUUUGAAUUUGAAAAACUAUUAAAUUACUUAAAGCAAAUAAAUUGCAAAAUUGGAUAAUAAAAUUAAAAUUUUGAAAUGUCAGAUAUUUGAAUCGAAAUAGUUUAUAGUUUAGAUAGAUUUUAUAUAUUUUACCACACUACAACAUAAUUAAGUUAUAUGGACACUAUGUUUGGGACACUUUUGUGUAAGUGUCCCAUUUAUACCAAAACUUAAAAAAAAAUCUACUAAGCCCUAAAUAUAAAGUCCAAUCCAAUCAAAAAUAAAAUGCUACUCUACUCAACCCACUCCAGUACCCAGCCCAUUCGGCCCGAUUACAAAUAGAAAAGAAAAAAAAAAAUCGAUCACUAUCUCCCCUUCUCUCCUCACUCAAUCUAUUGAAACCCUAGACGAAAAGCCCUUCCCUCUCCUCCUUCUCUGCCACCGCAGCCAACGAGGUAGAGUUCCAGCGAUUGCUAAAUGCUUAAAUAAGUAUUGAUAAAUUAGCAGCACUUUUUUUAGGUUUUACCGACAUUCUUUAAUUGUCACUAUAUUCCUAGCGACCCCACAUAUAGCAACACUUUUUAAAGUGUCGGUAAUUUAGCCAGCGACAUUUUUUUUGACAUGUACCGACAUUUAAAAGUGUCGCUAUAAAUCGUUUUUAUUGUAGUACUAAUAUCUAUCUGUACCUAUACAUUAUUCUUCCUAAAUUUGUCACAUGGCAAUGUUCCCUUCGUUAUCGGAUGUAGACUCCACCCUGAACUAGCUCAAGUUUUUUACAAUUUUUUUUUUCUUGAAUCAAAUCAAUCAUUAUUCAAUGUGAGCUCUUCCGAACCGGCUCAAGUCCUUCAUAUAUUUUUUUUAAAUUUUUUUCUUAAAAUAAAUUCGGUUUUUCUAUUUUUUGCUUCAACCGAAUCAGAUCACACCUCUAUUUUGGGUCUAAUUGUUCUUCUUCCACUUUCUUUGGAUGUUAUCUGUCUUCAUCGGCAAGAUGAAUUCUAUCUCUUAACAUCACUUUUUCGAUCAUUGUUUUUUCUUUCUUAGCUAUCGUUUUUUUUUUUCU
rnacentral:lncRNA from 1 species